rnacentral:rRNA from 1 species
UACGUAGGGUGCAAGCGUUAAUCGGAAUUACUGGGCGUAAAGCGUGCGCAGGCGGUUUUGUAAGUCAGAUGUGAAAUCCCCGGGCUUAACCUGGGAAUUGCGUUGGAGACUGCAAGGCUGGAGUCUGGCAGAGGGGGGUAGAAUUCCACGUGUAGCAGUGAAAUGCGUAGAGAUGUGGAGGAACACCGAUGGCGAAGGCAGCCCCCUGGGUCAAGACUGACGCUCAUGCACGAAAGCGUGGGGAGCAAACAGG